rnacentral:rRNA from 1 species
AUGGACGCACCGCUGGUGUACCAGUUGUCUUGCCAAAGGCAUCGCUGGGUAGCUAUGUGCGGAAGGGAUAAGUGCUGAAAGCAUCUAAGCAUGAAGCCCCCCUCGAGAUGAGAUUUCCCAUAGCGUCAAGCUAGUAAGAUCCCUGAAAGAUGAUCAGGUUGAUAGGUCUGAGGUGGAAGCGUGGUGACACGUGGAGCUGACAGAUACUAAUAGAUCGAGGACUUAACCACAUUU